CUGGAGCGUCAUCGCGUGGGCCUGGCGUUGUGGCCGUUGGCGGUGGAACUAGACGCGUCACGGGUGCCGCCGCCGACGCGCGGUGACCGCUGGUGCGCCACGGCACCGGUGCGGCCAGACCCGGACCCACCGCAGCGCGUCUGGCUCUUCAUCGCCUCCACCCGCUCCGGCGUCUCCACCACCUCCUUCAUCGAGGGCCGGCUGUGGAGCUCGCCGGUCAGGCAGCCGAGCGUCAGUUGCGUGAACACCUGCCUGGAGUUGUACUGGCCCUUGAACCACGGGUCCAUGAGCCGCGCCAGCCUCCGACGGUCUGCCAGGUACGGCUUCGCCCAGUCAGCCAGGCUCAGCUGCCCGCUCGGCCGGUUCGAGUCCAGUGCCCGCUGCCCCAACAGCAUCUCCAGCAUCACCACGCCGACAUGGUGGUUUCUUUCACGAAAGUGA
rnacentral:misc_RNA from 1 species